rnacentral:lncRNA from 1 species
CACUUGCUGACCUGGCUUCUAGACUGCUCAUCAGAUCCUCUGCUUGCUAUUUCUUCCCCCAUGUGCAGGACAGAUGCAGAAGAUUCAGGGAAGGAUACAAAGAUCUUCUAGAUAUAAAGAGCCUGCUAGAGUGACUUUAAAGAGCUGCUGGAGGAAGUUACCACCGCUGGGCUGCAAAUCCACUCACUAACAGCCACCUGGACUACAGUAUUGGACAUACAAUGGAUCGCCUCUUCCACGCUACACCACAGUAAGUGAGUCAAAGGAGCAGAACGAGGCGUAAAAUGACAAGAACAAAGAGAAUAGGAGAGAAGGUACCACAGACAAGAGAUUCCAGCAAAUCUUCAGAAGAUUGAAAGUGAAACCAAACAAUACCAAAGCUGAGCGUGGGCAGACGGUGAGAGCGCAGAGAAGCGAUGCAGCAGAGAAAGCAGCUCUUGAGUUAAUCAAGUUCUGUCAGAAGAUGUGAAAAUAUUUCAUUUACUUCCCGCUAAAUCAGCUGUGACAGAGACACAUUCUUCAGGAUUGGAAAACUUUGUAUGGAGUCAGGAGAGAGAAGGAAGACGGGGUGAGAAGCACGUCCACAGCUCUCCAUUUCCCUGUUCCUUCCCGUGCAGGAGAGCCCUCCUGAUGGCAGACGUGAGCAGUCUUCAUCUCUAGAGAAGACCUCUCUACUAAAAAUUAC